UCUCUGAUUGUGAGUCAUUUACUGAGCUGGCGAAAUCGAAUAUUGAAGAACUAUCAAUAAGUAUAUAUCCGCCGAACUCCUUACAAAAUGUACUCACAGCAUUUGCUAAACAAAGACCCCAUAGACUUCAGGCCCUAAAAGUAUUAGGAGAAAAUCUUGAUCGGAUGGAACUAAGUUUGGAAACUUCGCAACUCUGGAACUUGGAGUCUAUAUAUGUUUUUUCCUUGUUGGAGUUGAAUAGCUUGGUUAACCUAACUAUCUCAUGUGAAUACGUAGGUUAUAAGUUUAGUUUACACACUCUAAAGAAAGUGGUUAUCUAUAGUCCGAUUGGUUUAAAGGAAUGUCUACAAUUGGCUGAACUAGAACAUUUGGAGUCGCUAACCGUGUCUUUGCUUUAUUUUGAGGAAAUAAAUGUUCUGGCUGACAUACAAAAUCUCAAUGAACUUAUUAUAACAGACACAAAAGGUUCGCUUAGCAAAAUUUACCAGGCUUUUGAACGUAAAAGUGAUCUGAAAUUAAAAUAUCUUUCUGUACCAAUCGAAUGUGUUGAAGAGUUGAACGAAAUAGGGAGACUUAAAUCGUUAAAUAAAUUACAUCUACGAUUUAUGAAAGAUUUAAAAACUUUACCAGACCUAGGCCAGCUGACGGAACUCAAAGAGUUGUGUUUGGAUAUUGAGCUGCAUGAAGUCAACUAUGUUUUAGCCAUUUUAACAUCCUGUAUAAAUCUCGAUCUUCUUACAAUCAAUUAUGAAAUCCGCGAAGAAGAGUAUUUUCUGAGGGAAGUUGAGAACCAUCUAAAGUCUAUUAGGGAUCCUACACUUCGAGGUCCUCUAAGAAUCACUUUGCAUAAAACCGACGAUCUACCAAAUUUUCACGUGGAAGAUGUGGAUGAGGCCUACUUGAAGGUGUACUAUGUCUACGGUAAAACGAGAAUAAACUUUUUUAAUUAAUUAAUAGGUCAGCGCUUUUAAUGAACAACGAAGAUUUGAAAAACUAAGGCGACCGAAAAUCAUCCGGAAUAAGGAGACAAAUAUAUAUAAUUGAGAAAAGAAAUAUAGAAAACUCAGCUAAUUUGGAUUUCGAAGCAUUAAACUACGCAGAAUAAGCUAUAAAUAAACAAAUAGUUUACCAAAGCAACCUUAAGUGAUUACAAUAUAGAUAAUAAUAGAAGAAAGUGAUAUUUAAAAGCCCAAAGUGAUAUGUUAUCUAUGUACAAUCUGUAAAAUUGCGUAUACGCCUAGUGGAAAGAGUCCAUAAAGCAGAACAAUAAAAUAAGUAAAAAUAUA